rnacentral:pre_miRNA from 1 species
UUCAUACUCCCUCUGUCAGAAAAAGUUGUCACUCAAAUGGAUGAAUCUAACACUAACUUGGUGCUAGAUACAUCCAUUUGAGAGAUAAAUUUGGGACAAGUUUUUUCAGAUGGAGGGAGUAUAUG